CUGACUGCUAUCGGAUUGGUACUAAGCCAUGCGAGUCAUUGUAGCAAUACAAGGCGGACGGCUCAGUUACACGUAGUCAACCCAACUAUGGACGUGAUAACCUCGGGAAACUGAGAAUAACCACGAUAGAUCAUUGGCCAGAAUGCUUAUGCUCCAAACAGUUCCUGCCAUGGAUGGGACUGCGGCCUAUCAGCUUGUUGGGAGGUAAUGCCCAUCAAGGCGAUUACAGGUACGGGCUCUGAGAGGAGUAGCCCGGAGAUGGGUACUGAGACACGGACCCAGGCCCUAUGGGGCGCAGCAGGCGAGAAACCUUAGCAAUGUGCGAAAGCACGACUGGGUCAGUCCGAGUGAUUCCUCAUAAAGGAGUCUUUUGCCUGUCCUAAAAGCACAGGUGAAUAAGGGGUGGGCAAGUCUGGUGUCAGCCGCCGCGGUAAUACCAGCACCUCGAGUGGUCAGGACGUUUAUUGGGCCUAAAGCAUCCGUAGCCGCCUCUGCAAGUCUUCGGUUAAAUCCACCUGCUCAACAGAUGGGCCGCUGGAGAUACUACAGAGCUAGGGAGUGGGAGAGGCAGACGGUAUUCAGUGGGUAGGGGUAAAAUCCUCUGAUCCAUUGAGGACCACCAGUGGCGAAGGCGGUCUGCCAGAACACGUUCGACGGUGAGGGAUGAAAGUUGGGGGAGCAAACCGGAUUAGAUACCCGGGUAGUCCCAGCUGUAAACGAUGCAAACUCGGUGAUGCAUUGGCUUAUGGCCAAUGCAGUGCCGCAGGGAAGCCGUUAAGUUUGCCGCCUGGGAAGUACGGACGCAAGUCUGAAACUUAAAGGACAUGGCGGGG
rnacentral:rRNA from 1 species